AUACGGAGGGGGCUAGCGUUGUUCGGAAUUACUGGGCGUAAAGCGCGCGUAGGCGGAUUGGUUAGUUGGGGGUGAAAUCCCAGGGCUCAACCCUGGAACUGCCCUCAAUACUGCCAGUCUAGAGAUCGAGAGAGGUGAGUGGAAUUCCUAGUGUAGAGGUGAAAUUCGUAGAUAUUAGGAAGAACACCAGUGGCGAAGGCGGCUCACUGGCUCGAUACUGACGCUGAGGUACGAAAGCGUGGGUAGCAAACAGGAUUAGAAACCCUAGUAGUCC
rnacentral:rRNA from 1 species